GACGAACGCUGGCGGCGUGCUUAACACAUGCAAGUCGAACGGAAAGGCCCUGCUUUUGUGGGGUUCGCGAGUCGCAAACGGGUGAGUAACACGAGAGUAUCCCGUCCUUGACUUUGGGAUAACUUCAGAAAACUGGCUCUAAUCCCGGAUAGGAGCUCCUGCUGCACGGUGAGGGAUGGAAAGUUUCGGCGGUUGGGGAUGGACUCGCGGCCUAUCAGCUUGUUGGUGGGGUAGUGGCUUACCAAGGCGUUGACGGGUAGCCGGCCUGAGAGGGUGACCGGCCCCAUUGGGACUGAGGACCCGCCCAGAAUCCUACGGGGGGCAAGCGUGGGGAAUAUUGCACAAUGGGCGGAAGCCUGUGGCAGCGACGCCGCGUGUGGGAUGAGGGCCUUCGGGGUGUGAAACGCUUUCGCAUGUGACAAGGCGUGAGUGACGGUAAUGAGUAAAGAAGCACCGGCUAACUACGUG
rnacentral:rRNA from 1 species